GUUGUAUGGUUAAGUGACUAAGCGUACACGGUGGAUGCCUUGGCAGUCAGAGGCGAUGAAAGACGUAGUAACUUGCGAUAAGCCCAGAUUAGGUAGUAACAACCAUUUGAGUCUGGGAUUUCUGAAUGGGGAAACCCACGUGCAUAAGCACGUAUCCUUACCUGAAUACAUAGGGUAAGGAGGCGAACCGGGGGAACUGAAACAUCUAAGUACCCCGAGGAAAAGAAAUCAACCGAGAUUCCGAAAGUAGCGGCGAGCGAAAUUGGACUAGCCCUUAAGCUUUACACGCGUUAGACAAACGGUCUGGAAAGUCCGACGAUACAGGGUGAUAGUCCCGUAGUUGACGACGUGUGUUCAGUGAAAUCGAGUAGGGCGGGACACGUGAUAUCCUGUCUGAAUAUGGGGGGACCAUCCUCCAAGGCUAAAUACUACUGACUGACCGAUAGUGAACCAGUACCGUGAGGGAAAGGCGAAAAGAACCCCUGUGAGGGGAGUGAAAUAGAACCUGAAACCGUGUACGUACAAGCAGUAGGAGCAGGCUUGUCCUGUGACUGCGUACCUUUUGUAUAAUGGGUCAGCGACUUAUAUUCAGUGGCAAGGUUAACCAUCUAGGGGAGCCGUAGGGAAACCGAGUCUUAACUGGGCGUUCAGUCUCUGGAUAUAGACCCGAAACCAGGUGAUCUAGCCAUGGGCAGGUUGAAGGUUGAGUAACAUCAACUGGAGGACCGAACCGACUAAUGUUGAAAAAUUAGCGGAUGACUUGUGGCUAGGGGUGAAAGGCCAAUCAAACCUGGAGAUAGCUGGUUCUCCCCGAAAGCUAUUUAGGUAGCGCCUCGGACGAAUACUACUGGGGGUAGAGCACUGUUAAGGCUAGGGGGUCAUCCCGACUUACCAACCCUUUGCAAACUCCGAAUACCAGUAAGUACUAUCCGGGAGACACACGGCGGGUGCUAACGUCCGUCGUGGAGAGGGAAACAACCCAGACCGCCAGCUAAGGUCCCAAAUUACUACUAAGUGGGAAACGAUGUGGGAAGGCUCAGACAGCCAGGAUGUUGGCUUAGAAGCAGCCAUCAUUUAAAGAAAGCGUAAUAGCUCACUGGUCGAGUCGGCCUGCGCGGAAGAUGUAACGGGGCUAAGUAGUAAACCGAAGCUGCGGCAAUAUACUUUUGUAUAUUGGGUAGGGGAGCGUUCUGUAAGCGGUUGAAGGUGUGUGGUAACGCAUGCUGGACGUAUCAGAAGUGCGAAUGCUGACAUGAGUAACGAUAAAGGGGGUGAAAAACCUCCUCGCCGGAAGACCAAGGGUUCCUGUCCAACGUUAAUCGGGGCAGGGUAAGUCGACCCCUAAGGCGAGGCCGAAAGGCGUAGUCGAUGGGAAACGGGUUAAUAUUCCCGUACUUCUUACAAUUGCGAUGGGGGGACGGAGAAGGCUAGGUGGGCCUGGCGACGGUUGUCCAGGUUCAAGUGCGUAGGCUUAAGAGUUAGGUAAAUCCGGCUCUUUCUAAGGCUGAGACACGACGUCGAGCACCUACGGGUGUGAAGUCAUUGAUGCCAUGCUUCCAGGAAAAGCCUCUAAGCUUCAGAUUGUAAGGAAUCGUACCCCAAACCGACACAGGUGGUCGGGUAGAGAAUACCAAGGCGCUUGAGAGAACUCGGGUGAAGGAACUAGGCAAAAUGGUACCGUAACUUCGGGAGAAGGUACGCUCUUGAUGGUGAAGUCCCUUGCGGAUGGAGCUGACGAGAGUCGCAGAUACCAGGUGGCUGCAACUGUUUAUUAAAAACACAGCACUGUGCAAAAUCGUAAGAUGACGUAUACGGUGUGACGCCUGCCCGGUGCCGGAAGGUUAAUUGAUGGGGUUAGACUUCGGUCGAAGCUCUUGAUCGAAGCCCCGGUAAACGGCGGCCGUAACUAUAACGGUCCUAAGGUAGCGAAAUUCCUUGUCGGGUAAGUUCCGACCUGCACGAAUGGCGUAAUGAUGGCCACGCUGUCUCCACCCGAGACUCAGUGAAAUUGAAAUCGCUGUGAAGAUGCAGUGUACCCGCGGCUAGACGGAAAGACCCCGUGAACCUUUACUACAGCUUGGCACUGAACAUUGACCCUACAUGUGUAGGAUAGGUGGGAGGCUUUGAAGCACGUACGCCAGUAUGUGUGGAGCCGUCCUUGAAAUACCACCCUUGUAGUGUUGAUGUUCUAACGUCGACCCCUUAUCGGGGUUGCGGACAGUGCCUGGUGGGUAGUUUGACUGGGGCGGUCUCCUCCCAAAGAGUAACGGAGGAGCACGAAGGUGGGCUAAUCACGGUUGGACAUCGUGAGGUUAGUGCAAUGGCAUAAGCCCGCUUGACUGCGAGAAUGACAAUUCGAGCAGGUGCGAAAGCAGGUCAUAGUGAUCCGGUGGUUCUGAAUGGAAGGGCCAUCGCUCAACGGAUAAAAGGUACUCCGGGGAUAACAGGCUGAUACCGCCCAAGAGUUCAUAUCGACGGCGGUGUUUGGCACCUCGAUGUCGGCUCAUCACAUCCUGGGGCUGAAGUCGGUCCCAAGGGUAUGGCUGUUCGCCAUUUAAAGUGGUACGCGAGCUGGGUUUAGAACGUCGUGAGACAGUUCGGUCCCUAUCUGCCGUGGGCGUUGGAAGAUUGAAGGGGGCUGCUCCUAGUACGAGAGGACCGGAGUGGACGAACCUCUGGUGUUCGGGUUGUGUCGCCAGACGCAUUGCCCGGUAGCUAAGUUCGGAAUCGAUAACCGCUGAAAGCAUCUAAGCGGGAAGCGAGCCCUGAGAUGAGUCUUCCCUGAUACUUUAAGUAUCCUAAAGGGUUGUCGGAGACUACGACGUUGAUAGGUCAGGUGUGUAAGUGCUGUGAGGCAUUGAGCUAACUGAUACUAAUUGCCCGUGAGGCUUAACCAUACAACACCCAAGGGGUUU
rnacentral:rRNA from 1 species